rnacentral:lncRNA from 1 species
GUAAUGGUGUGUGUGUAGUGGUGUGUAUUGGUAUGUAUGUGUAGUGUGCAUAGUGUGUGUGUAGUGUGUGUGUAGUGUGUGUGUAAUGGUGUGGGUGUAGUGAUGUGUAGUGGUGUGUGUAGUGUAAUGGUGUGUGUGUGUAGUGGUGUGUAUGUGUAGUGUGCAUAGUGGUGUGUGUGUAGUGUAGUGGUGUGUGUAGUGUGUGUAGU